GAUCAUGGCUCAGGACGAACGCUGGCGGCGUGCCUAACACAUGCAAGUCGAACGGAAGUUAGAGCUUCGGUUUUAACUUUAGUGGCGAACGGGUGAGUAACGCGUGAGGAACCUGCCUUUCAGUGGGGGGACAACAGUUGGAAACGACUGCUAAUACCGCAUGACACUUUUGGGGGACAUCCCUUAAAAGUCAAAGCUUUAUGUGCUGAAAGAUGGCCUCGCGUCUGAUUAGCUGGUUGGUGAGGUAACGGCUC
rnacentral:rRNA from 1 species